GAUGAACGCUGGCGGCGUGCCUAAUACAUGCAAGUCGAGCGAACAGACGAGGAGCUUGCUCCUCUGACGUUAGCGGCGGACGGGUGAGUAACACGUGGAUAACCUACCUAUAAGACUGGGAUAACUUCGGGAAACCGGAGCUAAUACCGGAUAAUAUAUUGAACCGCAUGGUUCAAUAGUGAAAGACGGUUUUGCUGUCACUUAUAGAUGGAUCCGCUCCGCAUUAGCUAGUUGGUAAGGUAACGGCUUACCAAGCCGACGAUGCGUAGCCGACCUGAGAGGGUGAUCGGCCACACUGGAACUGGGACACGGUCCAGACUCCUACGGGAGGAACCAGAAGGGAAUCUUCCGCAAUGGGCGAAAGCCUGACGGAGCAAGGCCGCGUGAGUGAUGAAGGUCUUCGGAUCGUAAAACUCUGUUAUUAGGGAAGAACAAAUGUGUAAGUAACUAUGCACGUCUUGACGGUACCUAAUCAGAAAGCCACGGCUAACUACGUG
rnacentral:rRNA from 1 species